UGGGGAAUAUUGCACAAUGGGCGCAAGCCUGAUGCAGCCAUGCCGCGUGUGUGAAGAAGGCCUUCGGGUUGUAAAGCACUUUCAGCGGGGAGGAAGGGAGUAAAGUUAAUACCUUUGCUCAUUGACGUUACCCGCAGAAGAAGCACCGGCUAACUCCGUUCCAGCAGCCGCGGUAAUACGGAGGGUGCAAGCGUUAAUCGGAAUUACUGGGCGUAAAGCGCACGCAGGCGGUUUGUUAAGUCAGAUGUGAAAUCCCCGGGCUCAACCUGGGAAAUGCAUCUGAUACUGGCAAGCUUGAGUCUCGUAGAGGGGGGUAGAAUUCCAGGUGUAGCGGUGAAAUGCGUAGAGAUCUGGAGGAAUACCGGUGGCGAAGGCGGCCCCCUGGACGAAGACUGACGCUCAGGUGCGAAAGCGUGGGGAGCAAACAGG
rnacentral:rRNA from 1 species